rnacentral:lncRNA from 10 species
UGCUGACUGAGAGGCUCGGGUACUAGGGAAACCACCCCCGCCAUGGGUAUGCCCAAGACAACGAUAUGGAUCCUAAGUACUGUCAUAGAGAUGGAAGAUGUGGAAGGCAGCAUAAUCUGGAUUUAAAGCGCUCUGAGAUCCAUCCUUGGGAAAGUGACAGCUAAGCCGAAACCUCAAGAUGAGUUACACGUUUGUGAGACAAAAAAAUGGAAAGGGGCAUGGAGGAGUGAAGUCCAAUAGAAAAGGGUUAAAGUGAUGCUUGUU